UGCAGUCGAACGGUAGUCCUUCGGGAUGAGAGUGGCGAACGGGUGAGUAAUAUAUCGGAACAUAUCCGUAAGUGGGGGAUAACGUAGAGAAAUUUACGCUAAUACCCGCAUAUUCCCUGAGGGGGAAAGGAGGGGAUCGCAAGACCUUUCGCUAACGGAGUGGCCGAUAUCGGAUUAGCUAGUAGGUGAGGUAAAGGCUCACCUAGGCGACGAUCCGUAGCGGGUCUGAGAGGAUGAUCCGCCACACUGGAACUGAGACACGGUCCAGACUCCUACGGGAGGCAGCAGUGGGGAAUUUUGGACAAUGGGCGAAAGCCUGAUCCAGCCAUACCGCGUGAGUGAAGAAGGCCUUCGGGUUGUAAAGCUCUUUCAGCCGGAAAGAAAUCCUGCUUACUAAUACUAAGUGGGGAUGACGGUACCGGAAGAAGAAGCACCGGCUAACUACGUGCCAGCAGCCGCGGUAAUACGUAGGGUGCGAGCGUUAAUCGGAAUUACUGGGCGUAAAGCGUGCGCAGGCGGCAUGAUAAGCCAGAUGUGAAAUCCCCGGGCUUAACCUGGGAACUGCAUUUGGAACUGUCAAGCUAGAGUGUAGCAGAGGGGGGUAGAAUUCCACGUGUAGCAGUGAAAUGCGUAGAGAUGUGGAGGAAUACCGAUGGCGAAGGCAGCCCCCUGGGCUAACACUGACGCUCAUGCACGAAAGCGUGGGGAGCAAACAGGAUUAGAUACCCUGGUAGUCCACGCCCUAAACGAUGUCAACUAGGUGUUGGGGAAGGAGACCUCUUUAGUACCGCAGCUAACGCGUGAA
rnacentral:rRNA from 1 species